GAUGAACGCUGGCGGCGUGCCUAAUACAUGCAAGUCGAGCGAACGGACGAGAAGCUUGCUUCUCUGAUGUUAGCGGCGGACGGGUGAGUAACACGUGGAUAACCUACCUAUAAGACUGGGAUAACUUCGGGAAACCGGAGCUAAUACCGGAUAAUAUUUUGAACCGCAUGGUUCAAAAGUGAAAGACGGUCUUGCUGUCACUUAUAGAUGGAUCCGCGCUGCAUUAGCUAGUUGGUAAGGUAACGGCUUACCAAGGCAACGAUGCAUAGCCGACCUGAGAGGGUGGUCGGCCACACUGGAACUGAGACACGGUCCAGACUCCUACGGGAGGCAGCAGUAGGGAAUCCUCCGCAAUGGGCGAAAGCCUGACGGAGCAACGCCGCGUGAGUGAUGAAGGUCUUCGGAUCGUAAAACUCUGUUAUUAGGGAAGAACAUAUGUGUAAGUAACUGUGCACAUCUUGACGGUACCUAAUCAGAAAGCCACGGCUAACUACGUG
rnacentral:rRNA from 1 species